AAGCAUCGUAAAAAUAACAAAAGAUAUCUAAAAAAAGUUAAUUGCUAUUUGGAAAACAGACACUAUUAAGACUUUCCCUAUUCUUCCCCUUCUCAAUCGUCAUUUCCUUUUCAUCAUUUCAUGUGGUCUUAGGUAUCCACUUCUGAUCUUCUUCAAUUAUCACCCUCACACUGUCAGGCACUUCAAAACCCAAGCUCCAAUUUAUGACUUAUCUGCCAAUCAAUUUUUGAUUUUUUUGAUCACCGACAACGAGUCUCCCUCAGUUUUUACCAUUGAAAGGUUCAGAUCCAAACCCAUUUUGGUUGCUUGAACACAUGCAAUGGCUUCUGUCGUGAAAGCUGUAGUAUAUGCAGCGUCAAAAUUAAUCUUCGUGUAUAGGACUACCGGCGUUUUCCAUCGUUCUUACCCCCUUCCAUGGUCAUUUUCCUUUCUUUCCAGGCCAUCAAUCUUUUAAGGACCUCGAGGAACAAAUUUCAGAGGUCAAUUGAGGAAAAUGAAAGGUUUCAGAUUAACCGAGAUGCAAAAUCGAAACGAGUACCAGAGCUCGUGGACUCGUGAAGAUUGGGAGACGGUUGGAGAAUCAACACACUAUCAUCUUGUCUAGCUUUGGUAUAUAGAUACUCUUAUUUUGUUCAAUGACAUGUAUAGAGCUUUUGUUAUUUUGUUAUGUGUCAUUUGAUUAGCCACUACGAAGGCUUGUAAAGGUAUACAUAUUCACUUGUAUGUGGCCAUGGAAUUGGCUCAUAUUGAUGUAGGUUAUGACCUAUAAAUUUUAUGCAUGCUUGUGUUCAGUUGUGCUAGUGAAGGAUGAAAUAUGUUAUCACAUUUAAA